AGAAUCAACGCUGGCGGCAUGCCUAACACAUGCAAGUCGAGCGAGAAAGGGUAGCAAUACCUGAGUAAAGCGGCGCACGGGUGAGUAACACGUGGAUAACCUGCCUCAAAGUGGGGAAUAACACCGGGAAACCGGUGCUAAUACCGCAUAUUCUGACGAGAUCUGUGGAUUUUGCCAGGAAGGAGCAAUUCGCUAUGAGAGGGGUCCGCGGCUGAUUAGCUAGUUGGUGAGGUAACGGCUCACCAAGGCCACGAUCAGUAGCCGGUCUGAGAGGACGGUCGGCCACACUGGAACUGAGACACGGUCCAGACUCCGUAGGGAGCAGCAGGUAGGGUAAUUUUCGACAAGUGGGGACAACCCGUGACGUAAGCAAUCGACCGCGUGGAUGAGUGGAAGUAUCGUACGGUAACGUAAACUCCGUUUACGGACGGG
rnacentral:rRNA from 1 species